rnacentral:rRNA from 1 species
UAGUCCGGAUUGUCAGUCUGCAACUCGACUGCAUGAAGUCGGAAUCGCUAGUAAUCGCGGAUCAGCAUGCCGCGGUGAAUACGUUCCCGGGUCUUGUACACACCGCCCGUCAAACAAUGGGAGUGGUGUUUACCAGAAGUCGUUAGCCUAACCGCAAGGAGGGCGGCGACCACGGUGAGCACCGUGAUAAUGUUAAGUCGUAACAAGGUAAC